rnacentral:rRNA from 1 species
AUUGAACGCUGGCGGCAUGCUUUACACAUGCAAGUCGAACGGCAGCGCGGGCUUCGGCCUGGCGGCGAGUGGCGGACGGGUGAGUGAUGCAUCGGAACGUGCCCAGUCGUGGGGGAUAGGCCGGCGACAGGCGGAUUGAUACCGCAUACGACAUGAGGGUGAAAGGGGGGGACCGAAAGGCCUAGCGGUAUUUGAGCGGCCGAAGUCGGAGUAGCUAGUUGGUGGGGUAAAGUCUUACCAAGGCGACGAACCGUAGCUGGUCUGCGUGGACGACCAGCCACACUGGAACUGAGACACGGCCCAGACUCCUACGGGAGGCAGCAGUGGGGAAUUUUGGACAAUGGGGGCAACCCUGAUCCAGCCAUGCCGCGUGCGGGAAGAAGGCCUUCGGGUUGUAAACCGCUUUUGUUCGGGAAGAAAACCUGUGGGCUAAUACCCCGGGGGGAUGACGGUACCGGAAGAAUAAGCACCGGCUAACUACGUG